rnacentral:rRNA from 1 species
CUACGUAGGUGACAAGCGUUAUCCGGAUUUGCUGGGCGUAAAGGGCGUGUAGGCGGUCUUGCAAGUCAGAAGUGAAAUUCCUGAGCUCAACUCGGGCGCUGCUUCUGAAACUGCAGGACUUGAGUGCUGGAGGGGGUAGCGGAAUUCCUAGUGGAGCGGUAAAAUGCGCAGAUAUUAGGAAGAACACCGGUGGCGAAGGCGGCUAACUGGACAGUAACUGACGCUGAGGCGCGAAAGCGGGGGGAGAAAACAGGAUUAGAUACCCUGGUCGGCCACGCCGUAAACGAUGAAUACUAGGUGUAGGGGGUAUCGACUCCCUCUGUGCCGCAGUUAACACAAUAAGUAUUCCGCCUGGGGAGUACGGCCGCAAGGUUGAAACUCAAAGGAAUUGACGGGG